AAACAUAAUUUAUUUGAUCUGAAACCAUCAUACCAGUUCAACCAAUCUUCACACUUCUACUAUGCCAACCAUGAACAGGUGUAAUGCAAUAGCAAACAUGGAAUAAAUGGGAGGUACAACCAUGCAACUCAAGCACGCCUGGUUGACUGACACCAAAGGAAAAUAACCAUGCAUCCAGAUCGAUGACUCAAUACUCAGCUUCCUCGUCCUCAUCUUCAACUUCAGCUCCGACUUCCUCAUAAUCCUUCUCCAGUGCUGCAAGAUCCUCCCUUGCCUCUGAGAACUCCCCUUCUUCCAUCCCUUCACCGACAUACCAAUGAACGAAUGCACGUUUGGCAUACAUGAGAUCAAACUUGCGGUCAAUACGAGAGAAGACCUCAGCCACGGCUGUGUUGUUGCUGAUCAUGCAGACUGCUCGUUGCACCUUGGCCAGGUCCCCUCCAGGGACUACAGUUGGUGGUUGGUAGUUUAUCCCACACUUGAAACCAGUAGGGCACCUGUGCAUGAGACAGCAGAGAAAGACAUUCAUGUCUCGCGCAGCUAUCUUUUCAGUGGAAGAUUACAAUCUAUAAUCUGAUAUAACUUGGUAAGAGUUGUGAGCAUAUACCAAUCAACAAACUGCACUGCUCUCUUGGUCUUGAUUGAAUGGACAGCAGCAUUCACAUCUUUUGGAACAACGUCGCCACGGUACAUCAAACAGCAUGCCAUGUACUUUCCAUGCCUGGGAUCACAUUUUGCCAUCACACUUGAUGGCUCAAACACAGAAUUUGUGAUCUCAGGAACAGAGUGUUGUUCAUGGUAGGCCUUUUCCACUGAGAUAAUUGGAGCAUACGAAGAGAGCAUAAAGUGUAUGCGGGGAUAAGGCACAAGGUUGGUCUGGAACUCAGUUAUGUCAACAUUAAUAGCUCCUUCAAACCUCAGAGAGGUAGUCAGAGAUGAUAUAACUUGUGAUAUAAGCCUGUUCAGAUUGGUGUAUGUUGGACGCUCAAUGUCGAGGGACCUCUUGCAUAUGUCAUAGAUAGCUUCAUUGUCAAGAAGCACAACAACAUCUGUGUGUUCAAUCAAGGAAUGUGUGGAGAGCACGCUGUUAUAAGGCUCGACCACAGCAGUCGAGAUCUGCAAUGAAAAUGGUUUCAGUACAGAGUUCUUGUACAUUACAAUGACAGGUAAACCUCCUUUGCAAGCUUUUGUUUUCCGAUUGAGAAGGCAAGUAUAUGCCUUCAUUUAGGUAUACAUAAAUAGUACUGUUGCAAAUUAACACUUUUUACUCACUUUUGUCUCAAGCAUACAGAUUUAGAUAAUUGUACAAUUAACCAUUAUGUAGCCACUCCGCAAUAACAAGAAUUGAUAUGAAUAUUCUUCACUCACACAUUUUCACGGUCUAGACUAAAUGUUAGCCUAAACGUCUAACUGGCUAAACAAUCACCUAUUGUUUAGCUAUUUAUUCAGGCUAAACGAUCAUUUAAAUGGAUUAAAUGUGGUCAAAAGGGAUAAAUGGACACAUCAAGCUGCCAUGCAGCAUUUACACGGCGUGUAAACGGGCUACACGGCCGUAUAGGUGAAGUAGACAUACAUGGGCUUGCAGCAUUGCGUGAUAUCCAAGGUUGAAUUUCAUGAAGAUCCUUCAAGAUUUAUUUUUACUACAAUCAAUGAUAGGUGAAUGUAGGCUAGGGAAAAAUAUACUCCACUUGGAUACAUAGGUUUUUCUAUGCACUUAGGUAUACAUUAUGUCUAGAUAGUAGAUACAUAGUAAAAUUAAUGUAUCUAGAAAAGUCAAAAUGUCUUAUAGUUUGAAAUGGAGGGAGUAUUUCUGUAUGCAAGCUAUGUCUUAUUGCAAGAACAAAUAAAGAGUUCUGCUCACUGACACAAGCGGCUCAACUCUAAUAUCCGUAAAAUUUAUAUUUUUAUCGUGGCUCCUCCAGAAACAUGACAAAAACAGCAUACUAGUUGGAAAGAGAAGGUAAAAGUCCAAAAUAAUUAGACUAGCUUUUCAAGAAAUUGAGUUAUGAUAAAACAACAUACUAGCUGAAAGUAGGACAUAUUUAGACUUUUCUUGUAAAGUUACUAUCAGAUAUUCGAUUAAUCAUUUUAUUGAAAUUGAGAUUUUUGUUGUAUAUCAAAAAUUCAAAACUGAUGGCGAGACAGACUUUUUUUGUUACUAUUACUAGUACUACUUUAUAUUGGUAGUCUUGCGAAAUCACGAUACAGAUCUACCAUUGAAGUGAUUUCUUUUUAAUGUUUCACACUGAAUACUAUAUUUUUCUGGCAAAAACCGAAUCAAACUUCCCAUGCAAUCUAGAUGCAAUCUGUCAUGGGCAUAAUAGGGAGUGAGAGGCAACAGCCAGGCUAGGAUAAGGCUAGAGAAUAAGAUUGAGAUGAGCUAGGAUAAGGCUAGAGAAUAAGAUUGAGAUGAGAGAAUUGUGGAGAGUUAGUUAGCAGCAGAUAAGUCCAAGAAAGUAGGAGUUAGUUGAGAGUUUGUAGGAGAAGUUGGUUAGUCAUAGGGCUAUUUAUAAGCCGCAUAGCAGCAAGGAAUAAAUCAAGCAAGAUCAUUACCAAAUCAAUCUCUCUCUCUUGCAAUCUCCCUCUCAAGCGCCUAGGGCUGCUACCCUAGAACCAAGCCUACGGCAGAGGGGUAUAACCUCGCCGGAGAAGACAGCUAUCCCCAUGGACCGAAGGUCCAUGACACCUGGUAUCAGCUCCAGGUUAUCCUCACCACCACCAGCCGCCCAUCCCUCACCACCACCAGCCGCCGCGCCAUUUGCCGCCGCAACGCCCUCCCACCCGCCCUCUCCAACUCUAGAUGCAUUCACUCGGCUCGAAGAGAAGUGGGAUCAAUUCGUUGUGAUGUUCCAUCGCUACAAGGAGAAGACAGAGAAGGAACUCCAAGCAGCGGUGCGGCUUCAGGCGGCAGCGCGAGGGUUCCUGGCACGCCGCCAGGUACAGUCCCUUCGUGGGGAGAAGCACCUUGCUGUGGCCUCCAGGGCCACCCCAUGGCCGUCAUCACAUGAGCAGGCCGUGGUGCGCCUGCAAGCCGCAGUGCGCGGCUUCCUUGUUAGGCGGGCGGUGCGGAAGCUGCACUUGCUGAUCAGCUCAUCGCUGCACCAACUCGCAGCCUGCGCGCCCAACCACCAGGUCUCGUCUAUACUUUUUGAACCCCCUACAGAAGUCGAGAUCUGGGUAUGCAAUCCCCCUGCACGGCCAAAGAGGGUCGUCUCCCUCAUUCGGGCAACUGCCUUGGUGCUGGACAGACCCAAGGGCUGGUUCCUCCUUCACCUUUCAUCCAACGUGAAGUCCGCAGUUCAGCUCUUUCCUUGGGAUCCAGGAGGACAUAGCUGCAGUUCAAAUUUAUAUUUUAAUUCCACAAUUAUUUUGUAUUUCCGUCUUAAAUAAUAAAGGUAAGCCGAGAUGUAAAAGGCUUAACCUUAAGUCAUGUCAGGUAAGUCUAUGGCAGCUCGAGGACGAGCUGGUCCUCAAGGGAGGGGGAGAUGUCAUGGGCAUAAUAGGGAGUGAGAGGCAACAGCCAGGCUAGGAUAAGGCUAGAGAAUAAGAUUGAGAUGAGCUAGGAUAAGGCUAGAGAAUAAGAUUGAGAUGAGAGAAUUGUGGAGAGUUAGUUAGCAGCAGAUAAGUCCAAGAAAGUAGGAGUUAGUUGAGAGUUUGUAGGAGAAGUUGGUUAGUCAUAGGGCUAUUUAUAAGCCGCAUAGCAGCAAGGAAUAAAUCAAGCAAGAUCAUUAUCAAACCAAUCUCUCUCUCUUGCAAUGACCCUCUCAAGCGCUUAGGGCUGCUACCCUAGAACCAAGCCUACGGCAGAGGGGUAUAACCUCGCCGGAGAAGACAGCUAUCCCCAUGGACCGAAGGUCCAUGACACAAUCAAACUAACAAAAGUCAUAAAAAUUCUUAAAAAUUUUAUAGAUGUAUUUUACUCUAAUAAUGUAUCACAUUUUAAGUUCUUAAGUCAUCCUAUGUUAAGAAAUAUACAUAGAAAAAUAAAAUUCUAUCAUUUUUUAAUACUUCAUAUUGGAUAUAGUUUUCUCCUUUUUAUAUCUCUUAAAGUAGGAUGAAUCAUAACUUAAAACUUGAUAUGUUGGUAGAGUAAACAAUGAAGUAUAUCUGUAAUUUUUUUUUUGAAAAAAAAUCGUGACUUUUGGUAAUUUGGUUGUAUGGAGAUUGCACAACAGUUUUUCUCUUCCUUUGUCGAGACGGUAAUUAAGUCUGUAAUUACUUGCCCAGAAAGAAACAUGAGCUUCAGCUACUUGCGGCUGCUGCUGCUGCUUCAAAACUGCAUACUACUAUAGCACGGUACUAGUGCGGUGCUAGUGCAGCUAUAGCCGCCCGAGCGGGCUUGAUGACUGCAUAAGUAAUUACGAUGACCAAAUGAUGCAUACAUGAAUGUUCCCAAAUUAUCAUCUUGAUACCUGUGGGGAAGGAUAGAUGGUGAAACCGAGCUUUGACUUCCUACCAUAAUCUACUGAUAGACGUUCUAAAAGUAGCGAACCCAGGCCGGAGCCUGUUCCACCACCAACAGCAUUGAAAACCAGAAAACCUUGAAGACCAGUGCAGUUGUCUGCCAAUUUUCGUAUCCGAUCAAGGCAAAGAUCUAUUACUUCUCUUCCAACUGCAGCAGAAAAAACAUGUUGUAGAACUUCUGACAUUACUCAGUUUCCAAACAGGAUAGGUAUUAAUAAAGAGCAGAGAACAGUUCCAAAGCAUUGUAAUGUUUUUAAAACAAUUGCCCCAGGUAAGGAAAGUGAGGUUGCUUGUAUGAUAUGAAGUCAUGAAAAAUACUAUAAUAAUCAUGGCAUAGGAUGGUUGAAUAUGUAAAUUAUAAGAUCCUGACCCAGCCCCUUCAUAAUAUCCAAAUUGUUGUGGACUAGUUCUGGCUACCACUUGCUAGUACUGUUCAAGAACACAAAUUUGGUCUUUACGCAUUUUGGCAAUGCACCGAAAUUCAAGGUAGGGCUUCCAAACCCCAAUAGUUUUUGUACUUGAACCAAUAUUGCAUUUAAAAUUGCAAAAACAUUUUUUGUUCUCCGGGAAAUAGCUCAGGGUGAGGGGAACAUGUCACACCUGUGUAAUGUCCACGGGCGAAGUUGUUCGCUGCAUCUUCCUUGUGUGAGAUGAGCUGCUCAGGAUGGAAAAGCUGGCGGUAAGCCCCAGUCUUCACCUCGUCAAUCACAGUGGGCUCCAAGUCGACAAACAGGGCCCUUGGAACGUGCUUCCCUGCGCCCGUUUCACUGAAGAACGUGUUGAACGCAUCCCUCGCGAUCCCGACAGAGGUGUCACUGCAAGCGAACGGCCAAGGCUGAGAAUUUGGAUGCUGUGAAAUCGGGGUGUCAUCGACUCUUAAGAGAAGAUUUUUAGAGGUCAGAGCAUCCAGCGAAGUUUCUCUAGCUUUUAGAGUGCUGUCUGUGAUCAACAAGUAAAGAUCUUCCUCAGGAUUAUCUCAAAAACCCAACCUUUUGAGGCGACUGCUACAAGAACCCAGAUGGCAGCCCUAUCUUAAAUAAUUAUCUGAGCUGGAACUGGAAUAAUCAUCUCAGAGAGAAGUACAGAACAAAAUCUGACAUAAUUCUCAAGGAAAGGAUGAGUUGGAAUGGAAAGGGGCCUCACCUGGGCAUGAGGCCGUCAGGCUGGAUACCGUGCUCGAGGCAGUAGAGCUCCCAGCAAGAAUUCCCUACCUGGAUGCCUGCCUGCCCGAUAUGGAUGCUGAUGAUCUCCCUCAUCUCCCUCACGCCCCCUUGCUCUGCCUCUGAAUCAGGUUAUGCAGCCUCGGGAGAUCAGAAGCAAUUAUCCCUGCACUUGCACAGGGAUGAAGCCUGAGGACCGAAAAGACCUGCACCACUGCAAACGGAAAA